UCUAGAGUNUCGGAGAGGAAAGUGGAAUUCCUAGUGUAGCGGUGAAAUGCGUAGAUAUUAGGAAGAACACCAGUGGCGAAGGCGACUUUCUGGACGAAAACUGACGCUGAGGCGCGAAAGCCAGGGGAGCGAACGGGAUUAGAUACCCCGGUAGUCCUGGCCGUAAACGAUGGGUACUAGGUGUAGGAGGUAUCGACCCCUUCUGUGCCGGAGUUAACGCAAUAAGUACCCCGCCUGGGGAGUACGACCGCAAGGUUGAAACUCAAAGGAAUUGACGGGGGCCCGCACAAGCGGUGGAGUAUGUGGUUUAAUUCGACGCAACGCGAAGAACCUUACCAGGUCUUGACAUUGAUGGACAGAACCAGAGAUGGUUCCUCUUCUUCGGAAGCCAGAAAACAGGUGGUGCACGGCUGUCGUCAGCUCGUGUCGUGAGAUGUUGGGUUAAGUCCCGCAGCGAGCGCAACCCCUAUCUUAUGUUGCCAGCACUUUGGGUGGGGACUCAUGAGAGACUGCCGCAGACAAUGCGGAGGAAGGCGGGGAUGACGUCAAAUCAUCAUGCCCCUUAUGACCUGGGCUACACACGUACUACAAUGGGAGUUAAUAGACGGAAGCGAGAUCGCGAGAUGGAGCAAACCCGAGAAACACUCUCUCAGUUCGGAUCGUAGGCUGCAACUCGCCUACGUGAAGUCGGAAUCGCUAGUAAUCGCAGGUCGGCAUACUGCGGUGAAUACGUUCCCGGGCCUUGUACACACCGCCCGUCACACCACGAAAGUCG
rnacentral:rRNA from 1 species